GUUUAGACGAGAUAUAUAAGAUCAAACCAUUGUGAUCCUUGUCUGCAGUUAGCACGGUUCUUUUGGGUACAAACAUGCACAGUCUUUAAAAGUAACUUAAUUCCAGGCACUUUAUGUUGAGCUUCACCACAGAGACAGCAGCAAAUGAAAAAACACUAAUGUAACACAAAUCCCUAUAAACAAAAACCUAGCUCGUCUGAGCACUUACUAACAUCAGAU